ensembl:lncRNA GOLGA8DP golgin A8 family member D, pseudogene
AGUCGCACAGCUACCUGGUAGGUGACUGGAGGUGUUGAUCAGUGCUUGGUGGGAUUUUGCUGAUGUGGCCCCAAGCCCGCCUCCCUCCCCACCCUGCAAUGGCAGAAGAAACUCGACAAAGUAAAUUGGCAGCAGCCAAGAGAAAGUUAAAAGAAUAUUGGCAGAGAAACAGCCCUGGUGUUCCAGCAGGAGCCAAGAGGAACAGGAAAACAAAUGGCAGCAUCCAUGAGACAGCCACUUCUGGUGGUUGCCACUCACCUGGAGAUUCAGCAACAGGUAUCCACGGGGAGAGCCCUACAUCAUCUGCUACCCUGAAGGAUCUGGAGAGCCCGUGCCAAGAACUAGCAGUAGUCCCAGACUCGAGGUCCGUAAAAGUCAGUCAACUGAAGAACACCAUCAAAUCUUUGAAACAACAGAAGAAACAAGUGGAACAUCAGCUGGAAGAAGUAACAUGAUUUCUUUGUUUGCUCGCGACAUGACUGCUCGGUUUGGGGGACACUCAGAUGUAGAGGCCCCGAGUCUCGUCUCACCCACUCCCAGCCUGGGGAAGAAGGCUCACCCCCCAGAGUCCACCCCAUCCCCCACAGGGUCCCUGAUAACCCGGUCCCAUGGGUGGGCCUGUCCCGGGGCAGGGGCAGUGGUGGCAUUCUGGGGACAUGUCUCUUGCAGUACCAUCUCUGCCUCCGCCUGGUUAGAUCUCUGUCUUCCACUUCCUACAGGAAAAGAAAGCAAACAACGAGAAACAGAAAGCCGAAAGGGAGCUAGAGGUUCAAAUCCAGAGAUUGAACAUACAGAAAGGGAAACUAAAUACGGACCUGUACCACACGAAACAUUCUCUCAGAUACUUUGAAGAAGAGUCCAAGGAUCUGGCCGUCCGUCUGCAACAUUCAUUGCAGCGUAAAGGAGAGUUAGAGCGGGCUCUCUCUGCUGUCACCGCCACACAGAAGAAGAAGGCGGAGAGGCAGUUCUCCAGCCGCAGUAAAGCACGUAUGGAGUGGAAGUUAGAGCAGUCCAUGCGGGAGCAGGCACUGCUGAAAGCGCAGCUGACACAGUUGAAGGAGUCACUUAAAGAAGUCCAGCUAGAGAGGGAUGAAUAUGCUGAACAUCUAAAAGGAGAGAGGGCCCGGUGGCAGCAGAGGAUGAGAAAAAUGUCGCAGGAGGUUUGCUCGUUGAAGAAGGAGAAGAAGCAUGAUAAAUAUCGGGUAGAGAAGCUGGAGAGGAGCUUGUCCAAACUCAAAAACCAGAUGGCUGAACCUCUGCCCCCGGAGCCCCCAGCAGUGCCCUCUGAGGUGGAGCUGCAGCACCUGAGGAAGGAACUAGAGAGAGUGGCAGGAGCGCUCCAGGCCCAGGUGGAGUACAAUCAGCGCAUAAGUCUCCUGAAUGAGGGGCAAAAGGAGAGGCUUCGGGAGCAGGAGGAGAGGCUUCAGGAGCAGCAGGAGAGGCUUCCAGAGCAGGAGGAGAGGCUUCGGCAGCUGGCCGAGCCACAGAACAGCUUCAAGGAGCUGAACAAUGAGAACAAGAGCGUACUACAGUUGGAGCAGCAAGUAAAGGAGCUGCAGGAGAAGCUAGGCAAGGAGCGUCUGGAAGCUGCCAGCCAGCAGAAACAGCAGCUAACGGCCCAGUUGAGCCUCAUGGCUCUCCCUGGGGAAGGACACGGAGGAGAACAUCUGGACAGUGAGGGGGAGGAGGCACCUCGGCCCAUGCCGAGUGUCCCAGAGGACCUGGAGAGCAGGGAGGCCAUGAGCGGCUUUAUGGACCACCUGGAGGAGAAGGCAGACCUGAGUGAGCUGGUGGAGAAAGAAGAACUUGGAUUCUUCCAGUACUACAGAGAGGGAUGCCAUCAGAAAGUUUAUCACCCUAUAACAAAGCCAGGGGGCAGUGCCAAAGAUGCAGCACCGGGAGGAGGACACCAUCAGGCUGGCCCUGGACAGGGAGGAGAUGAAGGUGAAGCUGCUGGAGCUGCAGGAGAUGGUGUUGCAGCUGGUGGCGACUACAAGGGACACAGCAAAUUCUUGGUGACUGCCCAGAACCCUGCUCAUGAGCCCAGUCCAGGAGCCCCAGCCCCCCAGGAGCUUGGGGCUGCCCACAAGCAUGGUGAUCUUUGUGAGGUGAGCCUCACUGACAGCGUGGAGCCUGUGCAAGGAGAGGCCAGGGAGGGUUCUCCCCACGACAACCCUACUGCACAGCCGAUCGUGCAGGACCACCAGGAGCACCCAGGCUUGGGCAGCAACUGCUGUGUGCCAUUCUUUUGCUGGGCUUGGCUGCCAAGAAGAAGGAGAUAAACAUGACCAUCGUCAAAGAGCUGCUCAAGAAAUUUUUAAAAAAGAAACAAAGUUAUGGGGUUAAUCUCCUACACAAUUCAUUUACUUCGUUUGAAUGUUAUAGCCACUUAUGAUUAUUUGUGUUUCUAAUUUAUAGUUUAAGUUUAUUUGUAAAUAGUUAAAAGAGAGUGGGUCUCUGUGGCUUUCACUGAUGUUCACUCUGGCAUACUUUCGCAAUUUUCUUUUUCAAUUUCAUGAUUGUAGGUCAUUAGCAUGCAUAUUGAGUUUGCCCUUACGUGGUGGGAGUUCAAACACACAAAGACCCACUAUUUGCACAAAACUAUUCUUGCUGGUUUGGAAUAGGCUGCCAUGUGUUUUUAAUGUUAUUGAAGCAUGUAUAUUCAUUACAGAAUUCAGAUAAAAUUUGCCUAUGUUCUGCUAUUGUUUGAUCUAAUCUUAAUCACAGUGAGCUCUUCAUUAGCACAAUAUGUGGUUUGCCCCAAGUUUGCACUAUUUAAUACUUUGUAAUAUGCCACCAAGAGUACUGACAUUUAGAGUUGUUUAAAGGCCGAGAACUGGAAACAGCCUUUCCCUCAUUUUCUGUGUAUUGGUGAUGGGAGUAAUAACAUUUUGGGGGAGCUUUUUAAAUUUCACAGAAGAGGAAAGUUGCCUGCUCUGGCAGGUAUGUGCAAGAUAGAGUGUGUUUCAUUUGUUCUGUUGCCAAGAAUUAGUGCUGUACUAUUGUAGUUCCUUUAGGAUUUGUAUGUGCUCUGGGCUCAUGAAGAUAUUGCAUCAUGAGCUGCAGCAGUUGUACUCUUUUUUGAUGACCUAAAAAGGGCUUAUUUCUGAGGAAUGAAAGGUUCCCAUCAUUGACUAUGGAUGUGGAAAACCUUUCCUAGCUUAGAGCAUUUGUAUCUAUAUUUUAAAGUCAGAGUUCAUGUUACCUGUUUUAAUCACAUGACUGCAUGUCCCAGUACACAAAAGGGCACUGGUUGGCAUUCUUCUUAAUGUAUUUAGUAAAGAUCAGAAGAAAUCCUUUAAGAGUUUAAAUGUCCCUGGAACACGCAUACAGGCUCUAGUCAAGAAUGAAUUAGAGUGAAGGAAAGCUGUGUGACACCUGGCAUUCCUCUGUUCAUGGAGCUUCUUUGAGGCUUGAAGAUUGAUUUUACCAUCUAGACCACUCUGCCUAUUCUUCAACCACCUUGGUUACUUUGACAUAGGAAUUGACUUCUUUUCCUUGAAUGGAAAACACUUUGAAAUAAUAAUAAACAUUGUUAUAAACUAAUAUAUGUGAGAGUGCUUAGUUGAAACAAAAAGGAGUUUUAGUAGACAGUAUUAUACUAUCUUUGAAAAUCAAGGAGAAGUUUAUGCAACUUAAAAUGUGUACAAACUGCAGUGCAAUCUACUGUUGGUGAAUGUCAGUGUAUUAUCAGGAAACAUGUCUAUACAAUCACAGAGUUAUAUUUCCUCACAAACUUCUUUGUGAAGAGUGAAAUGUGUUUCUGUACCUCUGGGUUUCACUUACGGGCAUAUUUUGUGCAGUAUUUAUGUGAUUGUGCCUAUGCAUGAUGAAUGAAUGAAUUUCAGUUGUACAUUGCCUAAAUCAUAACUUGAUGAUGCUUGGGAAAGACUCAACAGUUAAAACUUCAUGAAGUUCUAAUGUCUGUGUUCCAAAACACAUCACAUUAUUAGGAUGUAGGGAGAUAUGUAUGUGUGCUCCCUGGGGUGGGGAUUUCUAGUUACUAGACCAUCUCCAUUUUUAGCAGUUGGCAUCCUCAUGAUACUUUUAUAAAUACGACAUUAACAGGAGAGCAGCAGUACGAUUUUGCCGAUGGAAUAACAGAUUUGCCGGCAAUCACUGAAAGAGUGCAAAUAUCGGGUCCUUGUGACUUCAACGGACUCUUCCAAAUUGUAUGAAUGUAUCAAUGUAUUAGAUAAACCCAGUUUCAGAAUGAUAAAGAAAAAAUGUUAGACCAAAUAAUGCGGCUAGUUAACAGUGGUACGAUUUCUAGCCCGUGGCUUUAAAAUGCACUUAAAGUCCUGUCCUUGCCUUUUAUUUUCUGAACUUGAUGUUUUUGCAUUCUUUGAGUUCAGUUUAAAGACAACUACGAGCAUCUGUAACCAAUCUGACAAUAAUGUGUUCAUCAGGUGCCUAUGGAUUAAAUCACAUACUGGCAUAUUUAAGCUGAAUGUCAAUCUGGAAAAUAAAUUGACUGUAUUAACAGAAAUACCACUCUUUGUGUAGAUAUUUGUCGUAUAUUUAAGAAAAAGCUAAAAAGAAUGGAAAUCGCAUGACUAUAACUUAAGUCUUUCUUCAAAGUGCAUUGCAGUCUUUUGCGAUACCUCAUUCAGCCAAGUAUUGGUAUUCUUCCUCAUUCGGUAUAAGGCAGCUUUCAAUUUGCUUAGAAGGCAACAUUGGAAGGUUAGAGUUCAUCAGAAACAGAAUUCUAAAAUGUGAGUUCAAUUCAAUAAAUUUGAAUUUCUGUAGGAAGAAUCAAAUCACCGAUUUAAAGAGUGCAAUAUAUAAUAAUCAUUUUUAAAGUAUUGGAUUAAAUCUGAUAGGUUUUCCAGAAAUGAACAAAAAUCAGCUCUAAAACCAAAGCUGAUUUUUAGAAAAUUUGAAAAUGUAAAUCAGCCCUAUCCAUACUAUAGUUUCUCUAAAACUUUAUCUGAAAGAGUCAUUUUAAAAUAACUAUUAAACAAUGUAACUGCUAUCUUAAUGUUCUGAAAUAAGUUAAAACAUUUUAAAAUAUGAAUACUGUAAAGGAAAUAAAUGGUGGGAAGGAAAAGUAGAGAAAGAAAUGCCAAUUCCAGUCCAAAGCUUUAUUUGCCAAGUUUUCUUAGAAUGAAUUUUACCAAUUUAUGAAUUCUUGUAAGCGGAAUGUAAAACGGAAAUACUGAAAGACUUUUGCCUAAAGUGGCAUUAUUGACUGCUGGUGUGAUGCUACUGUAAUGUAAUAAAUUAUUAAGUUGUUGCAAA